GUGGGGAAUCUUGCGCAAUGGGCGAAAGCCUGACGCAGCCAUGCCGCGUGAAUGAUGAAGGUCUUAGGAUUUUAAAAUUCUUUCACCGGGGACGAUAAUGACGGUACCCGGAGAAGAAGCUCCGGCUAACUUCGUGCCAGCAGCCGCGGUAAUACGAAGGGGGCUAGCGUUGCUCGGAAUUACUGGGCGUAAAGGGCGCGUAGGCGGACAGCUUAGUCAGAGGUGAAAGCCCAGGGCUCAACCUUGGAAUUGCCUUUGAUACUGGCUGUCUUGAGUUUGGGAGAGGUGAGUGGAACUCCGAGUGUAGAGGUGAAAUUCGUAGAUAUUCGGAAGAACACCAGUGGCGAAGGCGACUCACUGGCCCAAUACUGACGCUGAGGCGCGAAAGCGUGGGGAGCAAACAGGAUUAGAAACCCUGGUAGUCC
rnacentral:rRNA from 1 species